rnacentral:rRNA from 1 species
UACGGAGGGGGCUAGCGUUGUUCGGAAUUACUGGGCGUAAAGCGCGCGUAGGCGGACCUGCAAGUCGGGGGUGAAAGCCCGAGGCUCAACCUCGGAACUGCCUUCGAUACUGCGGGUCUCGAGUCCGGGAGAGGUGAGUGGAAUUCCUAGUGUAGAGGUGAAAUUCGUAGAUAUUAGGAAGAACACCAGUGGCGAAGGCGGCAUCCUGGACCAUGACUGACGCUGAGGAGCGAAAGCCAGGGGAGCAAACGGG